rnacentral:rRNA from 1 species
GACGAACGCUGGCGGCGUGCUUAACACAUGCAAGUCGAACGGAAAGGCCCUGCUUUUGUGGGGUGCUCGAGUGGCGAACGGGUGAGUAACACGUGAGUAACCUGCCCUUGACUUUGGGAUAACUUCAGGAAACUGGGGCUAAUACCGGAUAGGAGCUCCUGCUGCAUGGUGGGGGUUGGAAAGUUUCGGCGGUUGGGGAUGGACUCGCGGCUUAUCAGCUUGUUGGUGGGGUAGUGGCUUACCAAGGGGUUGACGGAUAGCCGGCCUGAGAGGGUGACCGGCCACAUUGGGACUGAGAUACGGCCCAGACUGCUACGGGAGGCAGCAGUGGGGAAUAUUGCACAAUGGGCGGAAGCCUGAUGCAGCAACGCCGCGUGCGGGAUGACGGCCUUCGGGUUGUAAACCGCUUUCGCCUGUGACGAAGCGUGAGUGACGGUAAUGGGUAAAGAAGCACCGGCUAACUACGUG